ensembl:snRNA Gm25416 predicted gene, 25416
GUGCUGGCUUCUGCAGCACACACACUAAAAAUGGGACAGUAUGGAGAAGUUUAGCAUGCCUCUUGUGCAAGGAUGACACACAGAUUCAUGAUGAAUUCCAUUUUUUG